CCUUCAUAAGAUCCAAAGACACCUGAAAAAGAAAAAGAUGUUCAAACACUUUAACAUUAGAAUAAAUGGCAAUCCAUCAAACCUAAAACUAAUAUCAUCACAAAACAUCACAAUCAAUUGAUCAUAUUGUCUCAUCAUAAACCAUAUGGUUGCACUUGAGGGGAGAGUGUUGGAAAAUGAAUUCGGCUAAAAAGUCCCACAUUGAAAAUAUAAACAAUGAAAGGAACAAUAUAAAAAUUGGCUGGUCAAUUUGAACUGUAGCAACUCAAUCAUUUAUAUAAACUCAUAUUUAAAAUGAAUUUAAGUGAAAUAUGCCUAGCAAUCUCCUUGAAUUUAACAAUAAUCUAUAGCAUGAAACAAGUACAAAACAAACAUGCUUUCCCCCAACUAUGCCAUGUCAUACCAACUGUCACAGGCCCAAUGUAAGAACACUCUUGGGACCGUGUGACACUUGGCUUUAACUCUUUCAAGAAAAGUCAGCCAAGAGAAUCCCUGAUAAUCUGUUCAACAAAAUGAGUACAUUAGCAUGACUUGGCAAGCCAAUAGGGGAAAAUAUCACAAUCAUUCAUACUAAAUAAUGAGGCACAAAUAUAUCAAGAACAAACAACUUCUUUCAUUCAUUUAUCACAAUCAAUACAAUUGGAUCGACUGUCCUUACAUCACUUAUAGAAGGGGGAAACCUACAAGGAGUGGUGGGACAGAAACUCAUCAUGCUAGUGGCUGGCUAUACCUAUCGCUCCUCAAUUGUCAACUAGCCGCUUCCCCCUAAAGAGUAUUAGGGACACAAUGGGGUGUGACAGGAGGAGACAUCACUGUGCUUGAGCAAUCAUGCCACGGCCCAAGUGUAAGAAUGCCUUUGGGACCGUGAGACACUUGGCUUGAACUCUUUCAAGACAAGUCAGCCAAGAGAAUCUCACGAUAAUCUAUCUAAUCAGAUAAGUAUAUUAUCAACUGAGUUAAAUGUUUUUAGGCUCUGCCCACAUUUCUAAGAGCAACUAAAUCCUAUAGACUCCCUUUUACCCAAGCUUUCCAGCAUGGUCCCUAUUUAUCAAACUGAGAAUAUGCAAAGUUUCUUGGACUCUUAAUAGAAAAUGGAGGAUAAAACCAUCAAAAACUUUUUCUAUUUAAUGCCAAGUUACUUGUUCUUGUCGGUUAAGCAAUAAUGUUCUUCCUGCUUACUUUGGACUUAACUUGAUUAUAGGUUUG
rnacentral:misc_RNA from 1 species